rnacentral:rRNA from 1 species
AAACUUUCAACAACGGAUCUCUUGGUUCUGGCAUCGAUGAAGGACGCAGCGAAAUGCGAUAAGUAAUGUGAAUUGCAGAAUUCAGUGAAUCAUCGAAUCUUUGAACGCACAUUGCGCCCGCCAGUAUUCUGGCGGGCAUGCCUGUCCGAGCGUCAU